rnacentral:rRNA from 1 species
AUUGAACGCUGGCGGCAGGCCUAACACAUGCAAGUCGAGCGGGGUUUUCGGACCUAGCGGCGGACGGGUGAGUAAUGCGUAGGAAGCUGCCCGAUAGAGGGGGAUACCAGUUGGAAACGACUGUUAAUACCGCAUAAUGUCUACGGACCAAAGUGUGGGACCUUCGGGCCACAUGCUAUCGGAUGCGCCUACGUGGGAUUAGCUAGUUGGUGAGGUAAUGGCUCACCAAGGCGACGAUCUCUAGCUGGUUUGAGAGGAUGAUCAGCCACACUGGAACUGAGACACGGUCCAGACUCCUACGGGAGGCAGCAGUGGGGAAUAUUGGACAAUGGGCGCAAGCCUGAUCCAGCCAUGCCGCGUGUGUGAAGAAGGCCUUCGGGUUGUAAAGCACUUUCAGCGAGGAGGAAGGGGUGUGUGUUAAUAGUACACACCUUUGACGUUACUCGCAGAAGAAGCACCGGCUAACUCUGUGCCAGCCGCCGCAGUAAAAC